rnacentral:rRNA from 1 species
GAUGAACGCUGGCGGCGUGCCUAAUACAUGCAAGUCGAGCGAACAGACGAGGAGCUUACCCCUCUGACGUUAGCGGCGGACGGGUGAGUAACACGUGGAUAACCUACCUAUAAGACUGGGAUAACUUCGGGAAACCGGAGCUAAUACCGGAUAACAUGUUGAACCGCAUGGUUCAACAGUGAAAGACGGUCUUGCUGUCACUUAUAGAUGGAUCCGCGUCGCAUUAGCUAGUUGGUAAGGUAACGGCUUACCAAGGCAACGAUGCGUAGCCGACCUGAGAGGGUGAUCGGCCACACUGGAACUGAGACACGGUCCAGACUCCUACGGGAGGCAGCAGUAGGGAAUCUUCCGCAAUGGGCGAAAGCCUGACGGAGCAACGCCGCGUGAGUGAAGAAGGUCUUCGGAUCGUAAAACUCUGUUAUUAGGGAAGAACAAAUGUGUAAGUAACUAUGCACGUCUUGACGGUACCUAAUCAGAAAGCCACGGCUAACUACGUG